rnacentral:rRNA from 1 species
UGGUUAAAAAGCUCGUAGUUGGAUCUCAACAGCCUUGAAGCGGUUAACUUUGUAGUUCUACUGCUUUAUAGGCUGUGCUUUUGCUGGAGGUUUAGGGGUGCUCUUGAUCGAGUGUCUCUGGAUGCCAGCAGGUUUACUUUGAAAAAAUUAGAGUGCUCAAAGCAGGCUAAAAUGCCUGAAUAUUCGUGCAUGGAAUAAUAGAAUAGGAUGUCGAUCCUAUUUUGUUGGUUUUCGGGACUCGACAUAAUGAUAAAUAGGGACAGUCGGGGGCAUUUGUAUUCAAACGACAGAGGUGAAAUUCUUGGACCGUUUGAAGACAAACUACUGCGAAAGCAUUUGCCAAGAAUGUUUUCAUUAAUCAAGAACGAAAGUUAGAGGUUCGAAGGCGAUUAGAUACCGCCCUAGUUCUAACCAUAAACGAUGCCAGCUAGCGAUCUGCCUGCGUUUUUACUGUAGACUGGGCAGGAAGCUUCCGGGAAACCAAAGCAUUUGGGUUCCAGGGGAAGUAUGGUUGCAAAGCUGAAACUUAAAGGAAUUGACGGAAGGGCACCACCAGGAGUGGAGCCUGUGGCUUAAUUUGACUCAACACGGGAAAUCUCACCAGGCCCGGACACUGGAAGGAUUGACAGAUUGAUAGC